ensembl:snRNA U1 U1 spliceosomal RNA
UAGUGUACCUGGCAGGGGAGACAUCAUCAUCACGAAGGUGGUUUUCCCAGGGCCAGGCUUAUUUAUCACUCCCAAUGUGCUGACCUCUGAGACUUCCCUAAAUGGGGGAAACUUGACCGCAUAAUUUGUGGUAGUGGGGAACUGCGUUGAUGCUCUCCUCU